GCUCGCUUAACUCAGUUGGUAGAGUAUCUCCGUCACAUGGAGGAAGUCGUGGGUUCGAGUCCCUCAGCGAGCACCA
rnacentral:tRNA from 1 species